rnacentral:rRNA from 1 species
AACGAACGCUGGCGGCAUGCCUAACACAUGCAAGUCGAACGAGACCUUCGGGUCUAGUGGCGCACGGGUGCGUAACGCGUGGGAACCUGCCCUUAGGUUCGGAAUAACUCCCCGAAAGGGGUGCUAAUACCGGAUAAUGUCUUCGGACCAAAGAUUUAUCGCCUUUGGAUGGGCCCGCGUUGGAUUAGCUAGUUGGUAGGGUAAAAGCCUACCAAGGCGACGAUCCAUAGCUGGUCUGAGAGGAUGAUCAGCCACACUGGGACUGAGACACGGCCCAGACUCCUACGGGAGGGAGGAGGGGGGAAUAUUGGAACAUUGGCCGAAGGCUGAUCCAGCCAUGCCGCGUUAGUUAUGAAGGCCUUAAGGUUGUAAAGCUGUUUUACCCGGGAUGAUAAUGACAGUACCGGGAGAAUAAGCUCCGGCUAACUCCGUG